UACGUAGGGGGCAAGCGUUGUCCGGAUUUACUGGGCGUAAAGGGCGCGUAGGUGGUCCUGUAUGUCUGCCGUGAAAGCGUACGGCUCAACCGUAUUUUGUCGGUAGAAACUGCAGGACUUGAGGCUGGGAGGGGCUGGUGGAAUUCCCUGUGUAGCGGUGAAAUGCGUAGAGAUGUGGAGGAACACCGAUGGCGAAGGCAGCCUCCUGGGCCAACACUGACGCUCAUGCACGAAAGCGUGGGGAGCAAACAGG
rnacentral:rRNA from 1 species